UGUGUGUGUGAGCUACCAGAGAAAGAAAAGAACGGGGGAAAACACCAAAAACCCUCAUUCACUAAAUUGAUCAAAUUGGAGGAUGGAUUGAGUCCAAAUCAUAUGCAUGAACUUGAAAUUCUGAUUAUCUAAACCUAAUAAACACAAGGAAACACAAGUGAAGCAUCGGGACGUCAAGCUUGACUAGACGCGCGAUUGAAAGAAAAGUUAUAAGGUGCUUAGAUGUAAACGGGUCGAAUAAUUGAACGCACAAUCCGAGAACCGAUAGCGUAAAGCGUAAGAGUUAUAUCAGUGGCGACGGAGAUCUGUGGUGGGUCGUCGGAUCUGUGGCGGGUCGUCGGAUCUGUGGCGAUGGGGUUCUGUGGUGGUCCUCAGAUCUGUGGUGGGUCGUCGGAUCUGUGGCGGUGGGGUUCUGUGGUGGUCCUCCGAGCUAUGAGUGUCGUGACAAGUUCAUUCAUGUGAGAUUGAACGGUCAUAACCUGACUGAACUCGUCUUUAACGUGUUGUAUCAGAACUGAAAUUGCUCUGUUUAUGAGAAUUUUGACAAACACUUCCGCCAUUAAUGCUUAUUAUCAAGCUCUGAGUUUGAGUGGAGUAGGAUAAGAAAUGGCACUACAAGGAGGAAAAGACUAUUGAUGAAUUUGACUUGGUCCAUGUUUUUGAAAAUUGAAAGGAUAAUUUAG
rnacentral:lncRNA from 1 species